rnacentral:rRNA from 1 species
AUUGAACGCUGGCGGCAUGCCUUACACAUGCAAGUCGAACGGCAGCACGGGAGUAAUCCUGGUGGCGAGUGGCGAACGGGUGAGUAAAGCAUCGGAACGUGCCCAGUCGUGGGGGAUAACGUAGCGAAAGCUACGCUAAUACCGCAUACGAUCUGUGGAUGAAAGCGGGGGACCGUAAGGCCUCGCGCGACUGGAGCGGCCGAUGUCAGAUUAGGUAGUUGGUGAGGUAAAGGCUCACCAAGCCGACGAUCUGUAGCUGGUCUGAGAGGACGACCAGCCACACUGGGACUGAGACACGGCCCAGACUCCUACGGGAGGCAGCAGUGGGGAAUUUUGGACAAUGGGCGCAAGCCUGAUCCAGCAAUGCCGCGUGCAGGAUGAAGGCCUUCGGGUUGUAAACUGCUUUUGUACGGAGCGAAAAGGCUUCCACUAAUACUGGGGGCUCAUGACGGUACCGUAAGAAUAAGCACCGGCUAACUACGUG